GAUGAAGAACGUAGCGAAAUGCGAUAAGUAAUGCGAAUUGCAGAAUCCGUGAGUCAUCGAAUCUUUGAACGCACAUUGCGCCCGCCAGUAUUCUGGCGGGCAUGCCUGUCUGAGCGUCAUUUCAACCCUCAUGCCCCUAGGGCGUGGUGUUGGGGAUCGGCCAGCGCCCGCGAGGGACGGCCGGCCCCUAAAUCUAGUGGCGGACCCGUCGUGGCCUCCCCUGCGAAGUAGUGAUAUUCCGCAUAGGAGAGCGACGAGCCCCUGCCGUUAAACCCCCAACUUUCUAAGGUUGACCUCAGAUCAGGUAGGAAUACCCGCUGAACUUAAGCAUAUCAAUAAGCGGAGGA
rnacentral:misc_RNA from 1 species